GUCCCUCUUUCUGCCUCGUCUUCUCUCAUGCCCCCAGACAGCUAUGCCAACAGUUUUCACUGUGAUAUGGUUGUGCUUGAGGGGUACGUGACUCAUCACAGGGGAUUUCUAUCGCUGGAACAAUCCUUGACUUAGGUAAUCUGUUUUGAACGCUUCCACUGCGUUAAUUGUUUGGGGCUUUUUCUUAGCGUGUUUGUGGAUGGCUGUCAGUAGAGCUUGUAUUUCUUCCUUCCCAGAACCAGCAUUUUUGCUAUGCAUGCUUGCCUUCUAGGCAACAUUCACACUGAUGGAAGUGCUCCAUGCAGGUGGUACAUAUUUGCAUCCUUAUGCAAGCUAGCAACUAUUCCCUUUCUCAGACAGUUUUGCUUUUUAUAGUCCUUUGCUUAUGUAUUACCAUCUCUUCUGUGAUUCUGGGCUGCAGUUCUCAUUUCCAUCUUUUUUUUUUUUUCCCCUGUUGCUGUUCACCUUCCUACUUCGGUUAAUGACAUCAGCUGUUGCUAUUUCUGUGCUUCAAUAGACAUUGCUCACAUCUGAAUUGGUUGCUUUGGUUAGAGGCGAUAUUUUGUAUGUCAGAUCCCCAGAGCUGCGAGAGCAUCUUCCCCUCUCUCUCUUAAGGAACAUCCCCCCCCCUGCUUGUAUGCAAUGUGAAAAAGAGCCUGAGCAGGCAAGCCUCAGGGGCUAAUGCAUUAAGAUUCAUGGGUUUGAUAGCAGAUGUUUCUUCAUUCUUUCAGAACCUAUUUAUUUUCCCUAUGUGUGCUAUCUCUUACUUCCAAAAAGGAUCACAUUUCAAGCUCUGGUCAAGUAACCCUUAUUUCAUAGGAAAAACACUGACCAUUUUGCUCUUGUUCUUAGUGAGCAGCUGCCUAGUUACAAAUGACACACCUGGUAGCUGGGGAAGAAGGUGUUCUGCUGUGCCUGUUGCUCUGGGAGCUGAUGGGAUCCUGCACUGCUGGGGAAGGAGGAACAAAGCUAUCAGGUCACCUGUCUGCUUGCGGAUGAUGCUAACAAGCACCGACGUGGGCUGCUUGGACAUCCAGACACGGCUCCAGGGCUGCUGCGGUCUGCAAAUCCACCCAAGGUAUUAUGAAAACAAGAUUUUCUUCGAUAGGAGCAUUGAGGUUUUUCAGCCGUAGUUCUUUGACUUCUUGGGGGAAUUAUGGCAGACUCCACACUUACUGAUGUAAAACUAUUUUGAGCUCUGAAGCAAUGAGAUGCUUCAAUUUCAAUACCAUAGAACAGUGUCCAAAAUCCACAUUUUCUGCACUGCCCAUUGAAAAAGUGGCAGGAAGUUCAGGCAGAU
ensembl:lncRNA